rnacentral:lncRNA from 1 species
CGCAGGCCGCCGCUGUGAGGGCCCGCCCGCGGUGGGGGCGGUUGGGGCCCUGAGGGUGGCGGCGGUUGGAGCCGCCCGCGCGCCGGAGCGGCCUGCGGGCGCGGCCCGCGCUCGGCCCCGCACCGACAGCCGCUGCGAGGGCGGUGCGGCCGGGGCUGCUGGGCCCCUCCCGCCGCCGACGGGCUCCGGCCGCUUUCGCGGGCGCUCUGCCGUCCGUGUGGCGGGUGAGUCGUUUGCCUCGGCUGUUUUGUGAAGGUAGGAAAUGGCCAAGCCCUUGUGGAAGCCGUCCCGGAGGAGUCAGGUCAACUUGAAGGAACAAAUAAAAGAGAGAAACAAGAAAUCGGCAGGGCUGGGGAAAGCCUGCGAGCCCUCGUCUACGAGUGUCAGCGGCACGACCAGCAGCCCCGCGCAGCUGAAGAGCAUCCAAGCCAACAACAGAGCUCUAGCGCUGGCUUUGCAGGAGGAGAAGCUCAAAGUGAGAGAAGCCCGAGAUGCCUUUCUGUUGUUAAAGGGAGAGAAUCAAUGCCUGAAGUUUCAGAUCUUUUGUUUACAAGCACUGCUUCGGUCACAGCAAUUGCAGAAUGUGGGAAUGUUUCCUUCAGUGCCUGUAAUGAUUCCUGUUGUCACUGGACAAGAGCAUUGUGCGGGAGUUCCACAGCAUAUUGUGAAACUUGGAGAAAUCCCUGAGAGUAAGAUGAAGGCCGCAACAGAUGACAGUAAGCCAGAUGGCUUUGUUUCAGAGGACCACUGUGAAUCUGCCAGUCUCUAUGCCAUAAAGGAAGUAGAAACAGAGUGUGGGGAAUCUUUUGAGCCUUCUUGUGAAUGUCUCCAGAACGUUACUGGCACGGCGUGCUCCCGCCUCAGCACUGGGGUAACAGCUGUUUACCCAGCACAUGAAAGGCCACUACCUCUGAAACACAGGCAGCGUGGUCCCAGGAACCGUGUAUGUGUCCUACUUCUUAGCUCCAUGUAGUGAAGUACUGUGGUCUGUCUUAAAAGGCAGGAUAUGGCAGGGGUUAUUUUGGGCAGGAAGGCCUUUGAAGAGGG